GACGAACCGUGCGAACGUUGUUCGGAAUCACUGGGCUUAAAGGGCGCGUAGGCGGUUUGCCAAGUCAGGGGUGAAAUCCUGCAGCUCAACUGUAGAAGUGCCUUUGAUACUGGCGAACUCGAGGGAGGUAGGGGUCGCUGGAACUUCUGGUGGAGCGGUGAAAUGCGUUGAUAUCAGAAGGAACGCCGGUGGCGAAAGCGAGCGACUGGAUCUCUUCUGACGCUGAGGCGCGAAAGCCAGGGGAGCAAACGGG
rnacentral:rRNA from 1 species